rnacentral:lncRNA from 1 species
CGAUGCAUCCUCGGGGUCAUAAUUCUUAAUGUAUUCCUCCACUAAUGACACAUUGAUUGAUAAUAAAUGCUCUGAAUGGUGCAAAAAUUGGAACAGCUUUGCAGUCCAAAAAUCCCUUAUUUUUCUCUACGUCCAACAGAUUUCUAACUUCAUCGGCUCCAUAUUAGUAACGAUUAUCACAGCCGGUGGUUUUGCUGUGCGUUUAGCUCUCACAUUCCGGCCACUUUCAUCUCUGUCUACAAUUCUCUUGGUACUUUCAAUCGCCAUGAUUCAAACGCUUAUAGGUCCUAAUUGUCAAUGCGACUCUCCAGUAUGCACGAAACACUAAAAUGAAACACAAAUAAGCAACAACAGAAUAUAACACCACAGAAUAAUCCUUAAUAGGAGCCCCACUCCUAUUCUAUUACCUAGUGAUGAGAACGACAACAUGGUACCCAUACUGUCCAUUUCUCACUUCCUUCGCAUCUGA